AUGGCGACCGGCGCACGGGUGAGUAACGCGUAUCCAACCUGCCCUUUACUCCGGGAUAGUCUCCUGAAAGGGAGUUUAAUACCGGAUGUGUUUGUUUUUCCGCAUGGGAGCGACAAAUAAAGAUUAAUUGGUAAAGGAUGGGGAUGCGUCCCAUUAGCUUGUUGGCGGGGUAACGGCCCACCAAGGCGACGAUGGGUAGGGGUUCUGAGAGGAAGGUCCCCCACAUUGGAACUGAGACACGGUCCAAACUCCUACGGGAGGCAGCAGUGAGGAAUAUUGGUCAAUGGGCGAGAGCCUGAACCAGCCAAGUAGCGUGAAGGAUGACGGCCCUACGGGUUGUAAACUUCUUUUAUAAGGGAAUAAAGUUCGCCACGUGUGGUGUUUUGUAUGUACCUUAUGAAUAAGCAUCGGCUAAUUCCGUGCCAGCAGCCGCGGUAAUACGGAAGAUGCGAGCGUUAUCCGGAUUUAUUGGGUUUAAAGGGAGCGCAGACGGGUCGUUAAGUCAGCUGUGAAAGUUUGGGGCUCAACCUUAAAAUUGCAGUUGAUACUGGCGUCCUUGAGUGCGGUUGAGGUGUGCGGAAUUCGUGGUGUAGCGGUGAAAUGCUUAGAUAUCACGAAGAACCCCGAUUGCGAAGGCAGCCUGCUAAGCCGCCACUGACGUUGAGGCUCGAAAGUGCGGGUAUCAAACAGGAUUAGAUACCCUGGUAGUCCGCACGGUAAACGAUGGAUACUCGCUGUUGGCGAUAGACGGUCAGCGGCCAAGCGAAAGCGUUAAGUAUCCCACCUGGGGAGUACGCCGGCAACGGUGAAACUCAAAGGAAUUGACGGGGGCCCGCACAAGCGGAGGAACAUGUGGUUUAAUUCGAUGAUACGCGAGGAACCUUACCCGGGCUUGAACUGCAGUGGAAUUAUCCGGAAACGGAUAAGCGAGCAAUCGCCGCUGUGGAGGUGCUGCAUGGUUGUCGUCAGCUCGUGCCGUGAGGUGUCG
rnacentral:rRNA from 1 species